rnacentral:rRNA from 2 species
UGGGGAAUUUUGGACAAUGGGCGCAAGCCUGAUCCAGCAAUGCCGCGUGCAGGAAGAAGGCCUUCGGGUUGUAAACUGCUUUUGUCAGGGAAGAAAUCUUCUGGGCUAAUACCCCGGGAGGAUGACGGUACCUGAAGAAUAAGCACCGGCUAACUACGUGCCAGCAGCCGCGGUAAUACGUAGGGUGCGAGCGUUAAUCGGAAUUACUGGGCGUAAAGCGUGCGCAGGCGGCUUUGCAAGACAGAUGUGAAAUCCCCGGGCUCAACCUGGGAACUGCAUUUGUGACUGCAAGGCUAGAGUACGGCAGAGGGGGAUGGAAUUCCGCGUGUAGCAGUGAAAUGCGUAGAUAUGCGGAGGAACACCAAUGGCGAAGGCAAUCCCCUGGGCCUGUACUGACGCUCAUGCACGAAAGCGUGGGGAGCAAACAGGAUUAGAUACCCUGGUAGUCCACGCCCUAAACGAUGUCAACUGGUUGUUGGACGGCUUGCUGUUCAGUAACGAAGCUAACGCGUGAAGUUGACCGCCUGGGGAGUACGGCCGCAAGGUUG